rnacentral:rRNA from 1 species
AUUGAACGCUGGCGGCAGGCCUAACACAUGCAAGUCGAACGGUAACAGGGAUCAGCUUGCUGAUUCGCUGACGAGUGGCGGACGGGUGAGUAAUGUCUGGGAAACUGCCUGAUGGAGGGGGAUAACUACUGGAAACGGUAGCUAAUACCGCAUAACGUCGCAAGACCAAAUAGGGGGACCUUCGGGCCUCUUGCCAUCGGAUGUGCCCAGAUGGGAUUAGCUAGUAGGUGGGGUAACGGCUCACCUAGGCGACGAUCCCUAGCUGGUCUGAGAGGAUGACCAGCCACACUGGAACUGAGACACGGUCCAGACUCCUACGGGAGGCAGCAGUGGGGAAUAUUGCACAAUGGGCGAAAGCCUGAUGAAGCCAUGCCGCGUGUAUGAAGAAGGCCUUCGGGUUGUAAAGUACUUUCAGCGGGGAGGAAGGGAGUAAAGUUAAUACCUUUGCUCAUUGACGUUACCCGCAGAAGAAGCACCGGCUAACUCCGUG